rnacentral:rRNA from 1 species
CCUACGGGUGGCAGCAGUGAGGAAUAUUGGUCAAUGGACGGAAGUCUGAACCAGCCAUGCCGCGUGCAGGAAGACGGCUCUAUGAGUUGUAAACUGCUUUUGUACAAGGGUAAACCUGAAUACGUGUAUUCAGCUGAACGUACUGUACGAUUAAGGAUCGGCUAACUCCGUGCCAGCAGCCGCGGUAAUACGGAGGGUCCAAGCGUUAUCCGGAUUUAUUGGGUUUAAAGGGUGCGUAGGCGGAUUGGUAAGUUAGAGGUGAAAUGUCCGGGCUUAACUCGGGAACUGCCUCUAAUACUGUUGAGCUAGAGAGUAGGUGCGGUAGGCGGAAUGUAUGGUGUAGCGGUGAAAUGCUUAGAGAUCAUACAGAACACCGAUUGCGAAGGCAGCUUGCCAAUCUAUAUCUGACGUUGAGGCACGAAAGCGUGGGGAGCAAACAGGAUUAGAUACCCUGGUAGUC